rnacentral:tRNA from 1 species
UAGCUCAGUCAGUUAGAGCAUGGUGCUGAUAACACCAAGGUCGCGGGUUCGAUCCCCGU